UCACUGUAAACUGGAGAAACUGUGGUUGUGUAUGUGUGGUGUCUCAGAUGAAGGCUGUGUUGCUCUGACUUCAGCUCUCAGAUCAAAUCCCUCAAACCUGAGAGAACUGGAUCUGUCCUGCAAUAAUCUUAGAAACUCCGAUAAGAAGCUGCUCUCUGCUCUUAAGAAUGAUGAAAAAUACAAACUACAGACACUAAGGCUCUAAUGCAUAUCGGUGUGUGAUGAAGACUCAAGUUUUGCUGCAUUUCACUGUUGGAGAAUAGAUGUUUAAACCCAUCAAACAUUUAGUCCAAAUACAUGAAACAGGCUCAGACCUCUACAGACUCUACACUUUUAAUACAUGCAUAGUCAUAGCUAUUUUGCUAGAAAAUCAUAUACAUCAUAUGUAGGUGUAAAAUGUCUUGCAUUGAAGAAAUAAAAUACAUAAAUAUAAUGUCAUUAUUUUUGUUGUGUACAAUUAAUAGUCUAACAUUUUGUAGCAAAAUUAAAUUGACAGUAUAAUGAUACAGUAUUUUUAAAGCAAUCGUUGCUUUUGUAGUUCGCU